GAUGAACGCUGGCGGCGUGCCUAAUACAUGCAAGUCGAGCGAAUGGAUUAAGAGCUUGCUCUUAUGAAGUUAGCGGCGGACGGGUGAGUAACACGUGGGUAACCUGCCCAUAAGACUGGGAUAACUCCGGGAAACCGGGGCUAAUACCGGAUAACAUUUUGAACCGCAUGGUUCGAAAUUGAAAGGCGGCUUCGGCUGUCACUUAUGGAUGGACCCGCGUCGCAUUAGCUAGUUGGUGAGGUAACGGCUCACCAAGGCAGCGAUGCGUAGCCGACCUGAGAGGGUGAUCGGCCACACUGGGACUGAGACACGGCCCAGACUCCUACGGGAGGCAGCAGUAGGGAAUCUUCCGCAAUGGACGAAAGUCUGACGGAGCAACGCCGCGUGAGUGAUGAAGGCUUUCGGGUCGUAAAACUCUGUUGUUAGGGAAGAUCAAGUGCUAGUUGAAUAAGCUGGCACCUUGACGGUACCUAACCAGAAAGCCACGGCUAACUACGUGCCAGCAGCCGCGGUAA
rnacentral:rRNA from 1 species